AUGCUAGGUGACUCGAGGUACACAAAGACAAGUAACACAUGGUCUCUUACACAUAGGGCUGAGACCACCGAAGGAAAGGAUAGCUCUGGGAAAGAUUACAGCAAGAAAAGAAAGAUGCAAUUACAUCAGGAGGUGAGCCAAAUGAUUUGGGAAAGACAUGGGCAUUUCCAACAAGAAGGCUUUUGGCUGUCCACCAAAAAGCUGAACUGCCCUCACAUAAACAUGUCAGAUCAGAAGAAACAAAUAAAACAUAAGACUGUCGUUAAACUGAGGAAGUUUGGAGGGACAGAGAAGAAGAAAAUAUCACGGUCAUGUUGGCUAGAAUCCUGCCCAGAAGGAGACUGCAGCAACUCUCCACCCCCAGGUACAUUACAUACCAGCUACGGUUACUGCCUGUCAUAAAGGGAUGCAAAACACUGAGCAGAGACAGCAAAACAAAGCUCACAUUGUACGCACAAGGACAUAGAAAUAUAAAUAUAGAAAAUCAAAUGCUGUCACUGUUGAAAGAAGAUAUUAACUCAUGGGUGCUGGUAAGUUUCUGAGCUGGUUAAUUAGGUUUAGACCUCAGCCUUCC
rnacentral:lncRNA from 1 species